rnacentral:piRNA from 1 species
UGAAGGAAAAAAGCCCUAUCCCAAGGCCUGA